UAAAAAGAUUGGGACUUUGCAGCUUAGUAAAGAGACAACUAAGGCGGAUAUGAGAAAGGUCUAUAAAAUCAUGAAUGGCAUGAAAAAGUGAAUAAGAA